CGCUGGCGGCAGGCUUAACACAUGCAAGUCGAGCGGAGAGAGGUAGCUUGCUACUGAUCUUAGCGGCGGACGGGUGAGUAAUGCUUAGGAAUCUGCCUAUUAGUGGGGGACAACAUUUCGAAAGGAAUGCUAAUACCGCAUACGUCCUACGGGAGAAAGCAGGGGAUCUUCGGACCUUGCGCUAAUAGAUGAGCCUAAGUCGGAUUAGCUAGUUGGUGGGGUAAAGGCCUACCAAGGCGACGAUCUGUAGCGGGUCUGAGAGGAUGAUCCGCCACACUGGGACUGAGACACGGCCCAGACUCCUACGGGAGGCAGCAGUGGGGAAUAUUGGACAAUGGGCGCAAGCCUGAUCCAGCCAUGCCGCGUGUGUGAAGAAGGCCUUAUGGUUGUAAAGCACUUU
rnacentral:rRNA from 1 species